rnacentral:rRNA from 1 species
AUUGAACGCUGGCGGCAGGCCUAACACAUGCAAGUCGAGCGAGCGGCGGAAGGGUGAGUAAUGUCUGGGAAACUGCCUGAUGGCGGGGGAUAACUACUGGAAACGGUAGCUAAUAACGCAUACCAUCAGAUGUGCCAAGGAGGGAUUAGCAAUUAGGUGGGGUAACGGCUCACCUAGGCGACGAUCCCUAGCUGGUCUGAGAGGAAGACCAGCCACGAUGGGACUGAGACACGGUCCAGACUCCGACGGGAGGCAGCAGUGGGGAAGAUUGCACAAUGGGCGCAAGCCGGAUGCAGCCAUGCCGCGUGUGGGAAGAGGGCCUUCGGGUUGUAAAGCACUUUCAGCGGGGAGGCGUUACCCGCAGAAGAAGCACCGGCUAACUCCGUGCCAGCAGCCGCGGUAAUAC